UACGUAGGGCGCAAGCGUUGUCCGGAGUUAUUGGGCGUAAAGAGCUCGUAGGCGGCUUGUUGCGUCGGCUGUGAAAACCCGCGGCUUAACCGUGGGCUUGCAGCCGAUACGGGCGGGCUGGAGUUCGGUAGGGGAGACUGGAAUUCCUGGUGUAGCGGUGAAAUGCGUAGAUAUCGAGAGGAACACCAGAGGUGAAGACGGGUUGCUGGGCUGACACUGACGCUGAGGCGCGAAAGCCAGGGGAGCAAACGGG
rnacentral:rRNA from 1 species